ACAACGUGUCACUUCAGUCCUGGGGAGGGGGUUUGCAGGGGUGAGGGUCGCAGUAAGGAGUUCAUUUCACUGAUUAUUCCACCAAGAGAAACUAGAGGUUUGUCUGUCUUGGGGAAGAGACGGACGGCCCCAGACCGUCCUGGGCGGGCACUAACGCUGCGGCUCUGCGCAGUGGAUGUGACUCUGGAUGCGGCCUCCGCGCACCCCAGCCUGGAAGUGUCGGAGGAUGGCAAGAGCGUGUCUUCCCGCCGGGCGCCGCCAGGCCCGGCGCUUAACGACCCGCAGCGGUUCUCGGAGCAGACGUGCGCGCUGAGCCUGGAGCGAUUCUCCGCGGGCCGCCACUACUGGGAGGUGCACGUGGGCCGCCGCAGCCGCUGGUUCCUGGGCGCCUGCCUGGCCGCGGUGCCGCGCGCGGGGCCUGUGCGCCUGAGCCCGGCGACCGGCUACUGGGUGCUGGGGCUGUGGAACGGCUGCGAGUACUUCGUCCUGGCCCCGCACCGCGUCGCGCUCACCCUGCGCGUGCCUCCGCGGCGCCUGGGCGUCUUCCUGGACUGCGAGGCGGGAAAGCUGUCCUUCUUCAACGUGUCAGACGGCUCCCACAUCUUCACCUUCCACGACACCUUCUCGGACGCGCUGUGUGCCUACUUCAGGCCCAGGGCCCACGACGGCGGCGAACGUCCGGAUCCCCUGACCAUCUGUCCGCUGCGGGUUAGAGGGACGUGCGUCCCCGAAGAGAACGACAGUGACACCUGGCUGCAGCCCUAUGAGCCCGCGGACCCCGCCCUGGACUGGUGGUGAGGCGCCCUCUUGGCCGCAGGACUGGCCUGGGAGGCUCCCUGGAUCCCAGGCCCUUGCUUUGCUCUCCUGCUCCCUCUGAAGUGAGCAGGUGCACCAGCCAAAAUGUCAGCCAGGGGGACAAAGAGGGGGACCUUUGCCUACGUAGAUGCGUAUGUGUAAUGCGAUUUUCUUCAAGGAAAGGAGACAAGUCCAAAACUCGUAUGUGGAUUGUGGGACUGAGCGAAUGAGUACAAAGACAUCCAUGUCGCUGAGAGCCGGGGCUGCCUACGGUGGGCGGUGGGAAAGAAGCCAGCGUGGAAGAAAGAAGGGAGAAAGCUUUGGUGACUGCAUUAGAGGGAUCAGUUAAUUUGUAUCGUUUUAUAUUUUUUGUAUAUGUUUGCUAGCUCUAAAAAAGCCGAGACGCAAUGACACUUCGUAAGCAAUGAGUUCACCUAAGUAAGCCUCAGAUCCUAGUUUUAAAUAGCAUUUCCCAUUAAAAUGAAGUUGAAGAAACAGCUGCUUCUGGGGCUGGGACAAAAAUUUCAAGGUGAGCCUGGAGCGUUGUGUGUGGUAAAGUAAAAUAAACGCUCAAAACGUGACGGCAACAUGGCAAAAGGGUAGAGGCGCCAGGUUGAAGGGACCUCACUGACCAAUUGUGGGACAAUUUGAACAUCAGGAUGAAUAAUGACAGGAGAGAUGAUAACACAUUGAAUAAAAACAUAAUCCAUGAGUUCAUGCUGAUUCUCAAAUUUCUUUUUAAAAAGAAGAAACAGGAAGGUUUCUUUUAGAGGUGAAAUCUAAUUACUGGUGAGAGUCUUUUGGAGAACAGGGUAUUUUCAGUCUCAAAGCAGUGACCUUAUACACUACUUAUAAAUUUGAAAGGGGAAAUUUCAAAUGGAAAUUUACUUUACAAUGUAGAGGUCUGCCAGAUCAUCCAAGUGAUUAAAUUUAACACCAUCAGUGAUGGCACCAAGGACAUCAUUAGUUUGACAAUUGGGGAAAAUGAAACACGAACAGGAUAUCACUGGAGAAGUGUUCUUCACCCCCUACCCCCCAGAGAGUCUCGCUGUCGGCCAGGCUGGGGUGCAGCCUCAACCUCCUGAGCCCAAGUGAUCCUCCCACCUCCGCACACAACACCAUGCCCAGCUAAUUUUAAAUUUGUUAUGGAGACGGGGUCUCACUUUGUUACCCAGGCUGGUCUCAAACUCCUCACUCAAGCAAUCCUCCCACCUGGGCCUCCCCAAAUGCUGGGUGUACAGGCAUGAGCCACUGUGCCCGGCCUCAUUUUCAGAGUGAGGCAUUUGUACUGUGGCUAUGUAGGAGAGUAUUCUUGUUCUUAACAAACAUACUGAAGUUUUUUAGAUAUAAAUUACCACAGUGUCUGCCACUGAAUUUCCAGUGACUAAGUGGAAAAAUAUAAAACAUAUUAAUAUAAAGAAAGAGACAAGUCAAAUGUAGCAAAAUGACAACACUUGGUCAAUCUAGGUGACUAGUCGACAGAUAUUCAUUGCACUAUCAAUGCAGCUUUGCUGUGGGUUUGAAAUUUUACAAACUAAAAGAGUUGGGUGGCGGGGAGAAGGAUACACCAAAAAGCUUAGUGAUUACCUUUGGAUGGGAAAAUGGUUGGUAAUUGUAUUUUUUAAAUGUCUUCUUUGUAUUUUUUAAUGUUCAAUAAUGUAUAUGUAUCAGUUCUGUAAU